ACUUGACUACACUAAUGGGUUCAACAGGAUGAGUUCUACAUUGAAAUGGUCUCUACAGAAGCAACAAUCCCAGAGUUAGGGCAGAGGCUUUACUGUUGGAGCAAGAAGAUUUGCCCGGUGAUAACGAUGAGGACAUACCUCACUUUUAAGAUGUUGAAGCAUUGAUCUUUAACAUGGACCUGAGCCCCGAUGACAAAGACAUCUGCUUUCAUAAGGAAUUUGCAAAAUAUCAACACCAGCAGACUAAAAAAACAAUCAAUGAGACUGCAGUGGGGUGCCGAAGCUCAUAUACAAAGAGUGAUUGCAGCUCAAGGAACAUCUGC